rnacentral:tRNA from 1 species
GCCGAGGUAGCCAAGCCCGGAUUACGGCGCCGGUCUUGAAAACCGGUAUCUUCGGAUGCAUGAGUUCAAAAAAUCCAUAUUUUGUGGAGUCGAAUAAAUCUCAUCCUCGGCGCCA